AUGUACAGGAAAGGGAAGCACAGUUUGGAACAACAGCAGAGAUAUAUGCCUAUCGAGAAGAACAGGAUUUUGGAAUUGAGAUAGUGAAAGUGAAAGCAAUUGGAAGACAAAGGUUCAAAGUCCUUGAGCUAAGAACACAGUCGGAUGGAAUCCAGCAAGCUAAAGUGCAAAUUCUUCCCGAAUGUGUGUUGCCUUCAACCAUGUCUGCAGUUCAAUUAGAAUCCCUCAAUAAGUGCCAGAUAUUUCCUUCAAAACCUGUCUCAAGGGAAGACCAAUGUUCAUAUAAAUGGUGGCAGAAAUACCAGAAGAGAAAGUUUCAUUGUGCAAAUCUAACUUCAUGGCCUCGCUGGCUGUAUUCAUUAUAUGAUGCUGAGACCUUAAUGGACAGAAUCAAGAAACAGCUACGUGAAUGGGAUGAAAAUCUAAAAGAUGAUUCUCUUCCUUCAAAUCCAAUAGGUAUGAAAAGUUAGUUUCCUGCCUGGAGCCUGGGAUGUCUUGCUAUAAAAACUAGCUUUCUCAUGGAUGCGAUCCAAUUAUAUCUUCUAGAUUUUAAGACUGAUUAAAACAUUUUAAUUCUGAAAAGCAUAAUUUCCUUUGAGCAGUUGAAAAAAAUGAGUAUUUUAAAAUUAAUUGCAAUAAAAUCCUCAUAUUC
rnacentral:sRNA from 1 species